CUGGUGUAGAUGUCUGGAAGUGAAUGUGCUUUGAAUAAUACAAGUCAGGAGAUAUAUUGGGAAAGUUAAAAACAAAUAUAUUAUCAUACAUCCCAACAGUCCCAAAUCUGGCAGGACUGAUUAAUUUUAAGCUCCUGUCUUGCUCCCCAAGUUUGUUAAUUGGUGUCCCGCAUCUGGGGGCACCAGCGCACUGUCCCAAGCAAGUGCAUAAUUUAGAUAUAAUAUGAAACAUUUCUUUAACAUUUUAGAUUUCUGUAUAACUUUCCUUUUAACCAGAAACCUGGAAACCUAAUUGGAAACCUUGAUUGUAU